AACCGAGAUUCCCAAAGUAGUGGCGAGCGAACUGGGAUCAGCCUUCAAUAUUUAGUAUUUGAAUUAAGUCAAAUUUUACUGGAAAGUUAAACCGUAGUGGGUGAUAGUCCCCGUAGGCGAAAAAUUCAAAUAUAGAACUAAGAUUGAGAUAAGUAGAGCGGGACACGUGAAAUCCUGUUUGAAGAUAGGGGGACCAUCCUCUAAGGCUAAAUACUCGUAAUCGACCGAUAGUGAACCAGUACCGUGAGGGAAAGGCGAAAGAACCCCGGAAGGGGAGUGAAAUAGAUCCUGAAAACCGCAUGCAUACAAACAGUGGGAGCCCGUAAGGGUGACUGCGUACCUUUUGUAUAAUGGGUCAGCGACUUACAUUCAGUAGCAAGCUUAACCGAAUAGGGGAGGCGCAGCGAAAGCGAGUCUUAAUAGGGCGUAUAGUUGCUGGGUGUAGACCCCGAAACCAGAUGAUCUACUCAUGGCCAGGAUGAAGCGAGGGUAACACCUCGUGGAGGUCCGAACCCACUAAUGUUGAAAAAUUAGGGGAUGAGCUGUGGGUAGGGGUGAAAGGCU
rnacentral:rRNA from 1 species